UGGGGAAUAUUGCACAAUGGAGGGAACUCUGAUGCAGCGACGCCACGUGAACGAAGAAGGCUUUCGAGUCGUAAAGUUCUUUUAUAUGGGAAGAUAAUGACGGUACCAUAAGAAAAAGCCCCGGCUAACUACGUGCCAGCAGCCGCGGUAAUACGUAGGGGGCUAGCGUUGUCCGGAAUCACUGGGCGUAAAGGGUUCGCAGGCGGAAAUGCAAGUCAGGUGUAAAAGGCAGUAGCUUAACUACUGUAAGCAUUUGAAACUGCAUAUCUUGAGAAGAGUAGAGGUAAGUGGAAUUUUUAGUGUGGCGGUGAAAUGCGUAGAUAUUAAAAAGAAUACCGGUGGCGAAGGCGACUUACUGGGCUCAUUCUGACGCUGAGGAACGAAAGCGUGGGUAGCAAACAGG
rnacentral:rRNA from 1 species